GGAAGUGUGGCCGAGUGGUUUAAGGCUCUAGUCUUGAAAACUAGCGUGGGUGGAAGCCCACCGUGGGUUCGAAUCCCACCGCUUCCG
rnacentral:tRNA from 1 species